rnacentral:tRNA from 1 species
GAGAGAGGCUCGCAAGCAACGAGAACUGCUAACUCUCGCCACCCUAGUUGAACCCUGGGGCUCACUCG